rnacentral:rRNA from 1 species
GACGAACGCUGGCGGCGUGCUUAACACAUGCAAGUCGAACGCUGAAACCAGAUGCUUGCAUUUGGUGGAUGAGUGGCGAACGGGUGAGUAACACGUGGGUGAUCUGCCCUACACUUUGGGAUAAGCCUGGGAAACUGGGUCUAAUACCGAAUAUUCACACCACCGUAGGGGUGGUGUGGAAAGCUUUAUGCGGUGUGGGAUGAGCCUGCGGCCUAUCAGCUUGUUGGUGGGGUAAUGGCCUACCAAGGCGUCGACGGGUAGCCGGCCUGAGAGGGUGUACGGCCACAUUGGGACUGAGACACGGUCCAGACUCCUACGGGAGGCAGCAGUAGGGAAUUUUCCACAAUGGGCGAAAGCCUGAUGGAGCAACGCCGCGUGCAGGAUGAAUGCCUUCGGGUUGUAAACUGCUUUUAUGUGUGAAGAAUCUGACGGUAACACAUGAAUAAGGGUCGGCUAACUACGUGCCAGCCGCCGCCGUAA